rnacentral:snoRNA from 1 species
CCUGCCACCGUACCUCUCUCGUAAUGCAGCGACUAGUACAGUCCAGAGGUGAGCUGACAGAAAAUGCCAACUUAGGAAGCAGGGCUGUUCUUCUGGUGGGUAACUUUGUGCCCAGGUCUGGGAACAGGC